GCCCAGCUGGCUCAGUCACUAGAGCAUGUAACUCUUGAUCUCAGGGUUGUGAGUUCAAACCCCACAUUGGGCA
rnacentral:tRNA from 1 species